GACGAACGCUGGCGGCGUGCUUAACACAUGCAAGUCGAACGGAAAGGCCCUGCUUUUGUGGGUUGCUCGAGUGGCGAACGGGUGAGUAACACGUGAGUAACCUGCCCUUGACUUUGGGAUAACUUCAGGAAACUGGGGCUAAUACCGGAUAGGAGCUCCUGCUGCAUGGUGGGGGUUGGAAAGUUUCGGCGGUUGGGGAUGGACUCGCGGCUUAUCAGCUUGUUGGUGGGGUAGUGGCUUACCAAGGCUUUGACGGGUAGCCGGCCUGAGAGGGUGACCGGCCACAUGGGGACUGAGAUACGGCCCAGACUCCUACGGGAGGCAGCAGUGGGGAAUAUUGCACAAUGGGCGGAAGCCUGAUGCAGCAACGCCGCGUGCGGGAUGACGGCCUUCGGGUUGUAAACCGCUUUCGCCUGUGACGAAGCGUGAGUGACGGUAAUGGGUAAAGAAGCACCGGCUAACUACGUG
rnacentral:rRNA from 1 species